UCCAAAGCUAUGUCGCUGAACUCGACGGA
rnacentral:piRNA from 1 species